rnacentral:rRNA from 1 species
UACGAAGGGGGCUAGCGUUGCUCGGAAUCACUGGGCGUAAAGCGCACGUAGGCGGCUUUUUAAGUCAGGGGUGAAAUCCUGGAGCUCAACUCCAGAACUGCCUUUGAUACUGGGAAGCUUGAGUCCGGGAGAGGUGAGUGGAACUCCGAGUGUAGAGGUGAAAUUCGUAGAUAUUCGCAAGAACACCAGUGGCGAAGGCGGCUCACUGGCCCGAUACUGACGCUGAGGAGCGAAAGCGUGGGGAGCGAACAGG